rnacentral:lncRNA from 1 species
UUUUUUUUUUUUUCUCACAGUUCUGGAGGCCAAAAGUCCAAUAUCAUUAUCAGAGAGCCAAAGUCAAGGUGUUGGCAAGGCCAUACCCCCUCCAGAGCCUCUAGGAGAAAAUUCGUUUCUUGGCUCCAUCUCUUGAUGGCUGCUGGGGCUCCUGGGCUGUGGCUACAUCAUUUAGAUCGCUGUCUCUGUGAGCAUAUGACUUUCUCCUCUUAUACUCCGGGUAAUCUUCCUCGGCCUCUCCUCUAUUAAGAACACUUGUGAUUGCAUUUAGGACCCACCUGAUAAUCUAGGAUAAUCUCCCCAACUCAAGAUUCUUAAUCACACUGCAAAGAUCCUCUUUUUUUGUUUUGUUUUUUGUUUUUUGAAUAAUAAUAUGAUUUAUUAUUUACUUAUUAUUAAUUUACCAGAUUACAGUUGGGCAAAUAGUCUCACUCAGUUUAUAAUAUAAUCUUCUGAGUAUAUCUAGACUUUAUUUUUUUUACUUUUUUAUUUUCUUUUUUUAUUACUCAAAUGAAUUUAUCACAUCUGUAGUUGUAAUAAUGAUCAUAACAAUCCAAUUUCACAGGAUUUCCAUCCCAUAACCCAAGCACAUCCCCCCAACCCCAAACUGUCUCCUCCAGAGACCAUAAGUUUUUCAAUGUUUGUGAGUCAGCAUCUGUUCUGCAAAGAAGUUCAGUCUGUCCUUUUUUCUUGUCAAAGAUCCUCUUUCCAUAUAAGGUAACAUUUAUAGGUUCCAGGGAUUAGGACCUGAUAGCUUUGGGAGAUCUGCUUCAGCCUAUCCCACGCAUAUAGCCUACAAUACAGCAACAUACUCCUGGGUAGUUUCCUAAAGAAACUCUCACACAUGUACAUCAGAGGACAAAUACAAGAAUAUUCACUGCAACACUGUUUACAAAAACAAAAAAACUGGAAACAACACAAACAUCCACAAAACAGAUAUACUGUGAUGUAUUCAUAUAAUUGCAGAGCAAUGAAAAUGAAAGAAGUAGGGCUACGUACAUCAACAUGGGAGAAUCCUAUAACACGUGGAGAUAAAAAAAGUCAAAAAAUACCUAUGGGAGUUCCCGUCGUGGCGCAUGGAAACAAAUCUGACUAGGAACCAUGGGGUUGCGGGUUCGAUCCCUGGCCUCGUUCAGUGGGUUAAGGAUACAGCGUUGCCGUGAGCUGUGGUGUAGGUCGCAGACACAGCUCAGAUCUGGUGUUGCUGUGGUGCUGGUGUAGGCCGGCAGCUGUAGCUCCAAUUGGACCCCUAGCCUGGGAAUCUCCAUAUGCC